UCAAGCUACUAAGGGCAUACGGUGGAUGCCUAGGCGCCAAGAGCCGAAGAAGGACGCGGUAAGCUGCGAAAAGCCACGGGGAACUGCAAGCAAGUAUUGAUCCGUGGAUAUCCGAAUGGGGAAACCCGGCCAUCGUCAUGGAUGGUCACCCGCAAGGGAGGGAACCUGGGGAACUGAAACAUCUAAGUACCCGGAGGAAGAGAAAUCAAACGAGAUGCCCACAGUAGCGGCGAGCGAAGAGGGCAGAGCCCAAACCGAGAAGCUCCGGCUUUUCGGGGUUGAGGAUCGGCAGAAUCGAAGUCAGGCCUAGUCGAAUUACCUGGAAAGGUAAGCGAGAGAGGGUAAAAGCCCCGUAGACGAAAGGCAGAGCAGAGAGGCCGAGAUCCAGAGUACCACGAAGCACGAGGAAUUUUGUGGGAAGCAGGGGGGACCACCCUCCAAGGCUAAAAACUACUUGGCGACCGAUAGCGCAUAGUACCGUGAGGGAAAGGUGAAAAGAACCCCGGGAGGGGAGUGAAAUAGUACCUGAAACCGUAUGUCUACAAGCAGUCGAAGCGAAAGCGACGGCGUGCCUAUUGAAGAAUGAACCAACGAGUUAUCUGCACUAGCGAGGUUAAGUGGAAGACACGGAGCCGCAGCGAAAGCGAGUCUUAAGAGGGCGCUAGUUAGUGUAGGUAGACCCGAAACCGCAGUGAUCUACCCAUGUCCAGGUUGAAGCGCAGGUAAAAUUGCGUGGAGGACCGAACCGGUGAGCGUUGAAAAGCUUUCGGAUGAGAUGUGGGUAGGGGUGAAAUUCCAAUCGAACGCGGAGAUAGCUGGUUCUCCCCGAAAUAGCUUUAGGGCUAGCCUGAGGUAGUAAGUAUAGGCGGUAGAGCACUGAUCGGGCUAGGGGCCGUAAAGGUUACCGAACCCUGUCAAACUCCGAAUGGAUAUACUGUAGAGCCUUGGAGUCAGACUACGAGUGAUAAGAUCCGUGGUCAAAAGGGAAACAGCCCAGACCACCAGCUAAGGUCCCCAAUGUCGUACUAAGUGGAAAAGGAUGUGGGGUUUCAUAAACAACCAGGAUGUUGGCUCAGAAGCAGCCACCAUUUAAAGAGUGCGUAAUAGCUCACUGGUCGAGAGACCCUGCGCCGAAGAUUCCCGGGGCUAAAGUACGAAACCGAAGCUGUGGCUGUAUACGUAAAGUAUACGGGGUAGGGGAGCGUUCCCAUAGGGUAGAAGUCGAACUGGAAGGUUCGGUGGACUUGUGGGAAGUGAGAAUGUUGGUAUGAGUAGCGAAAAGAAAGGUGAGAAUCCUUUCCACCGAAAGCAUAAGGAUUCCUGAGCAACGAUCGUCGUCUCAGGGUAAGUCGGGACCUAAUCCGAGGCAGAGAGCGUAGGAGAUGGACAACUGGUUGAUAUUCCAGUACCGGUAGUAAUUGUUUGAGCAAUGGAGUGACACAGAAGGGCAGGCAAGCAUGCGAAUGGAAGAGCAUGUGUAAGCGUGUAGGGUGGUGCAUAGGCAAAUCCGUGCACUGAAAGCCUGAGGCGUGAUGCGGAGUGAGCAGAGAUGCGAGCGAAGUUGUUGACCCCACACUGUCGAGAAAAGCUUCUAGUGAGAGAGCUACCGCCCGUACCGUAAACCGACACAGGUAUGCGGGGAGAGAAUCCUAAGGUGCGCGGGAGAACCCUCGUUAAGGAACUCGGCAAAAUGUACCCGUAACUUCGGGAUAAGGGUAGCCACUGUUGUGAAGUCCCAUGCGGAUGGAGCAUAGAGUGGUCGCAGAGAAGAGGCCCAAGCGACUGUUUACCAUAAACACAGGUGCCUGCUAAAGCGAAAGCUGACGUAUAGGUGCUGACACCUGCCCAGUGCCGGAAGGUUAAGGAAGGAUGUUCGGAGUAAUCCAAAGCAUUCGACUGAAGCCCCGGUGAACGGCGGCCGUAACUAUAACGGUCCUAAGGUAGCGAAAUUCCUUGUCGGGU
rnacentral:rRNA from 1 species